UGGGGAAUAUUGGACAAUGGGCGAAAGCCUGAUCCAGCCAUGCCGCGUGUGUGAAGAAGGCCUUCGGGUUGUAAAGCACUUUAAGUGGGGAGGAAAAGCGGUGCGUGAAUAUCGUAUCGCCGUGACGUUACCCACAGAAUAAGCACCGGCAAACUCCGUGCCAGCAGCCGCGGUAAUACGGAGGGUGCGAGCGUUAAUCGGAAUUACUGGGCGUAAAGCGCACGUAGGCGGUUCUGUAAGUGGGAUGUGAAACCCCCGGGCUUAACCUGGGAAUUGCAUACCAGACUGCAAAGCUAGAGUAUGAGAGAGGGUGGUGGAAUUUCCGGUGUAGCGGUGAAAUGCGUAGAGAUCGGAAGGAACAUCAGUGGCGAAGGCGGCCACCUGGCUUAAUACUGACGCU
rnacentral:rRNA from 1 species